rnacentral:rRNA from 1 species
AGGAAUAUUGGUCAAUGGGCGCAAGCCUGAACCAGCCAUGCCGCGUGAAGGAUGACGGCCCUAUGGGUUGUAAACUUCUUUUGUACGGGAAAAAACCUCUGGUCGAGAAUCAGAGCUGAUGGUACCGUAAGAAUAAGCAUCGGCUAACUCCGUGCCAGCAGCCGCGGUAAUACGGAGGAUGCAAGCGUUAUCCGGAUUCAUUGGGUUUAAAGGGUGCGCAGGCGGAAUAAUAAGUCAGCGGUGAAAGCCUACAGCUUAACUGUAGAACUGCCAUUGAUACUGUUAUUCUUGAGUGUUGUUGAGGUAGGCGGAAUGUGUCAUGUAGCGGUGAAAUGCUUAGAUAUGACACAGAACACCGAUCGCGAAGGCAGCUUACCAAGCAACAACUGACGCUCAUGCACGAAAGCGUGGGGAUCAAACAGGAUUAGAUACCCUGGUAGUCCACGCCGUAAACGAUGAUCACUCGAUGUUGGCGAUACACAGUCAGCGUCUUAGCGAAAGUAUUAAGUGAUCCACCUGGGGAGUACGGUCGCAAGAUUGAAACUCAAAGGAAUUGACGGGGGCCCGCACAAGCGGAGGAGCAUGUGGUUUAAUUCGAUGAUACGCGAGGAACCUUACCUGGGCUUAAAUGGGGAACGACAGCAGCCGAAAGGUUGCCUUCUUCGGACGUUCUUCAAGGUGCUGCAUGGUUGUCGUCAGCUCGUGCCGUGAGGUGUCGGGUUAAGUCCCAUAACGAGCGCAACCCCUAUCUUUAGUUGCCAUCAGGUAAUGCUGGGGACUCUAAAGAAACUGCCUACGCAAGUAGUGAGGAAGGCGGGGAUGACGUCAAAUCAUCACGGCCCUUACGUCCAGGGCUACACACGUGCUACAAUGGCCGGUACAGAGGGCAGCUACCUGGUGACAGGAUGCAAAUCUCCAAAGCCGGUCUCAGUUCGGAUCGAAGUCUGAAACUCGACUUCGUGAAGUUGGAUUCGCUAGUAAUCGCGCAUCAGCCAUGGCGCGGUGAAUACGUUCCCGGGCCUUGUACACACCGCCCGUCAAGCCAUGGAAGUUGGGGGUACCUGAAGUACGUAACCGCAAGGAGCGUCCUAGGGUAAAACCGAUAACUGGGGCUAAGUCGUAACAAGGUAGCCGUACCGGAAGGUGCGGCUG